AGGAGAGGGAGGGAGGGAAGGAGGGGGGCUGGCGCGGUGCCCCCGCUCUCAGCGCGGCAUGGCUGCGUGUGCCGGGGCGCCUGCAAAAGUUGCACUGGGGGUGAGAGAAAGGGAGAGAGAGACGGAGGGAGAGAGAGGGAGACGGAGACCGAGACGGAGAGGAGGAAAAAAAAAAGGAGGAAAAAAAAAAAAAAAAAACCAGCGAAGGGAGUUUGCAAAUAAUCAAGCGCCGAUGGCACCGAUCGCGGCUUCCCAGAAGGAGCGGGAGCGAGAGAGAGAAACCCUCUGCUGAGAUUAUGUGGGAUCUUGUUUAACAACACAUUUCAAUCAGGAGAAAAAAGGAACAGUCAACAGAAGUUGGUGAAACACUUCUGUCUCUCCCCCCCCCCCCUCUUUAUAGAAAAGAGAGGAAAGGAAAAAAAUAAAAAGGCAGCUGAUUGAAGCUUUGCAACUCACUGGCUGUGGGGAUCAUAUAAUUUGUGCUCGUGUUUUACAAUAGCAUGGAAAAUUCCUAUCUCUCCCCCUCUCCCCAAAUAAAUCUUCUAUUCCCUCAAGGCAUUUCACAAUCUGGUUCACUGACAAAAGUUCCAACUUAUCUUUUUUUUUUCGUUUCGCUUACUUGCAAUGUAAAUAUUUAGCGGAUGCAUUUAAAAUAAACAUACGUUGUUGCUUUUAGGAGUCAGGUUGUGUUUUUGUUUUGUUUUGUUUUGCUGUUUUAAAAAAGGAACCACAUCAAAGAAGUGUUUACUAACUGAGAUUGACAGCCUAUUCUCCCCCUCCCUCUCUUCCUCCCCCCCCCCCUUUUUUUUUUUUUUUAAUUUUAAAUCAUCCGUCUCUCCGGUUGAGCUCUUGCUGUAGGAGCACCAACCCGACGAGCAUCAUUUUUGUCGGUGCGUAGAGGAAAGCUGUAGGUGAAGCCACAGGAACCCCCUUUGCCUGACAGGAGCUUUACAAAGGAAGGUCAGUCACCAGGUACCCAUUACGCAGACAAGGGAAGCUGAGACUCGUGCAAAGCCUCUGGCAAAGGUGGAAACAAAACCUCGGGCUUAUCCUGCGUUAACAGCCGUCUGGAUCUGCCUGCCUGGAGCUCCUUACAGAUGAGCAGUCUGGGACUGGACCGGUGAAGAUAUAACUCCCUUUGUGCCUGCUGUUACUGCCGAUCCCUCAAAACUCUGCCUCUCGCUGCUGCUGGUGCCACUCAGACCUCCCCCACCUGAGCACUUGGUCGCAGCAGGGCUGAACCCCCGGCUACUCCCACUGAUGUCUCGAGGACGAGGCAAGAGGCUACUGAUGCCUCUGAUCCCAGCCUGCCUCCCUGCAGGGGGAGACACAAGAGGAGACGUGGAGAUGCGUUGGAGAAGAGCAGAGGACAAAACUGGAGCAGCAGGCAGCUACAGGAACCAGCUUCAUUUCUUGGCAUUGCAUUCUGCUGCAGCACGGCUCCAGGCAGAAGUUCAAGCUGCUUUCUGAAAGCAAACAGAGGUGCUCCUGGGAGCUGAAGGGGCACGAGUGCUGGAGUUCAGCAUUUGGGAGCAGAGAUCUUCAGAAGCACUGCUUCUGCUGCUGCCUCCUCUGCACAGCCAGCCUCAUGAAAACUUGAGUUUUCAAAGCACUUGUCAGAUACUGAACUGCAGGUUCCAGGCCUGCUGACCACCGUCUGUGAUGAGGAGACCCCCAGACCCUAGGAGACUCUCAGCCACUGCUCUGAUGGCAGGAGCUCUCCAACACCCUGGCAAAUGUGACCAGGAUCUGGCAGACAGGACAAAGUGAAAGACCUGCUGGGCUCUAAGGUACAAGGGGGGUGGGAAGGGCUCUGUGUAGAGGGGGAUCAGUGGAGUGCAGAUGCCAUGCCUCUGUUGUGUUUUGUGAACCUGAAAUAAACAGAGCUGUGGAAUUUAUCACACUGAAUUGAAAGGUGAGUUUCUCCCAUGUGCUGUGUGUAGGAUGCCUGUCUUCCUCUAGCUGAACUACAGAGAUUUGUAAAUCUAUUAUUGCUUCCAUGUACCCUCAUAGAAACUUGUGCUUUUGGUUUGGUGUGUAGAAAACUUUAUGUCCUAGGUCCACAUUCAGGUGUUUGUCCAAAUGUGAUUGGAUUACCAUUCAUUUAAGAUUGGUCAUAUUCCUUUUCCUCAGAUAAAACUGUCAUGCUAGAAGUUUUCCACCAUCCCCGUGUCUCUAGAGAGACUCUUGGAGAUUUGAAGGUGACUUUUCUGAAAAAUGGUCUCAGUAUAAUUCCAAAAAUACUUUAUAAUUUGGAGCCUGCUCCUCAACCUCCAGCAGAGAUCAAAGAGAUCCCAGAAAAAAUAUUAAGCACCAUGCAUUCCUAGGAACUGAGACUUUGGCUGUAAUGAGUCAGUCAACUACCCAUUUAUCAGCCAGAUAUAAACUGACUUAGGGCGUUUUGGAGCCAAAGGCUACUAGUACAAGGCUGCUGGUUUAGGCUUCGUUUUCGUUAAAAUGUUUGACUCCAAAGGAAGAUCUCUGUUUUCAAACAGUGUUUUUUAGACCUUCCUGUUAUUUUCACCUUCAAGCUUGCUCAGCCAGUUGGAUAUGAAAAACUUGUUCUUGCUUCCUAGUGGCAAGAUCAUGUGUUGAUGUUAUGUAUGGGGUGCUAAUUACUAUCUGUCAUUGUAUUUAUGGGGCUCCAUUUGCUACAGCACUGUGGUGCCAGGUACAAUAUUGAGAUAAGCAGGUAAGUUACUGAACGUGGACUCUGCUCUUCCCACCCUGGUGCUUGGCCCCUCUGAUUGGAGACUUCGUCCUCUUGCUCAUGCUCAGACACAGGGCACCUGAGAAAAAGUGAGGUUUGUGCUUUGCUGUGGAACAGCCCUGGUCUGUGAGCUCAGCCAGGCUGUGCCUGGAACCCUUGGCUCCAUCUGGGAUCACAUGCUGCCUCCAUCCCUCACGCUGGUGUGCGAUCCAAGGCACCAGCGCUGUGACUGGUGGCACUGGGAGCAGAGGCCACAGGGCCUGUGGCCUGCACACCAGCUGCUGAUGAACUCUUUUCCAUAGAAUGUUUUCCAAAAUCCAGCAAAAUGUGCCAGCUGGGAAAGCUGAAAUCAGUUGAGGUGCUGUUUCCCAGCCUAUGCAGGGUCACAGAAGGUGUCCCAGUCAGACUGCAUGGAAAGCUUUGAUGUCUUUGGAGAAAGAAACUGCCAUGAAGCUGGAGCCUGGCUGGGAUUAAUGGGAAGAAUUUCUUGUGGCUACUGGUACUAAAGACAGUUUGCUUCUCAAAGAAAUUCAACCCUUUAACCAGCUUGACAAAAGCUGUGGCCAGAGAGUCAGUCUCAGCCUGAAUCUGAGAAAAACACAUGCCUGGAACUCCAUUUCUACCACUACAGAGAAAUUAACAUGAACCCACAAGAAAGUGGAAAUGAGAUGAAAAAAUGCAGGUCACGGUAGCAGCUAGUUCUUAAAUGGGACAGGCAUAAAUUUCUUUAAUGUGGAUAUAGAAGGGAACGUAUUUUGUUUCUAUUAUUACUUGAUUGUGGGAGGCUAAAGGGAAAUUUUCUCACAAUCUCAAGAAAAAAAGUUUCAAAACUAGUUUUUAUAAUGUGAAAAUUAAAAAAUUAAAAAGGAAAUUGUGAUGGAGGAUAUGUGUAAAAUUUUUCCCCCUUCUUUUUGGUCAGCUCUGAUGUUUCUAAUUGAUGUCCAAGGAGAAAGCUUGAUGAUUUAGAGAUGAAGAAGAAAGGAAUCGCACCCUUGAAGUACAAGAUAAGCUGUGGUGCCUCGCAAAGAAGCUAAACCCUUCCCUGGGCCAGAUGGAAUCCAGAAGCCAUUCAAUGGAUUGAUCAGGGUGCAGAAGUCCUGCAGCUUCCCUUCAGUCCCAUGCAGAGCUGGGCUUUGUCUCAAAGCUGGAAGCCCCGGAGCAGUGUGGGUCCUCUGCAGUUCUGGCAGGACUCAGUGUCUGCCCCUACAUCAUGUGCUUCUUAUCUGGGAAGUCGUCUUCAUUUAGAAACCUUGUCCUGCAAUUGCACAGAGAUGGCUGUGGCAUGGUCCUGCAGAGAAGCUAAGAAGUCUUUAUGGGUACCUCCUGUCUGGACACUAAAACCUCCUGCAUCACACAUGUACUAUUAUUUCGUGUUACUUAGGACCUUUCCUUCUCUUCUUCACCUCAAGUAAAGGGGAACCUGUUGAUAUAUCCAUAAGUUUAAUACCUACUGGUCUUGGUAGAACUUCUCUUGCUCAUUGUACAUUAACAUUUUUGAUAUUUUUGUAUGCAUAUGCAAUUAAUAAAAAUUGGGCAAA